GUAGGGCGCAAGCGUUAUCUGGAAUUAUUGGGCGUAAAGAGCUCGUAGGCGGUUCGUCGCGUCUGCUGUGAAAUCCCGAGGCUCUACUUCGGGUCUGCAGUGGGUACGGGCAGACUAGAGUGCGGUAGGGGAGAUUGGAAUUCUUGGUGUAGCGGUGGAAUGCGCAGAUAUCAGGAGGAACACCGCUGGCGAAGGCAGAUCUCUGGGCCGUAACUGACGCUGAGGAGCGAAAGGGUGGGGAGCAAACAGGCUUAGAUACCCUGGUAGUCCACCCCGUAAACGUUGGGAAUUAGUUGUGGGGUCCAUUCCACGGAUUCCGUGACGCAGCUAACGCAUUAAGUUCUCCGCCUGGGGAGUACGGCCGCAAGGCUA
rnacentral:rRNA from 1 species